GGCAGGUUCAAUUAUCUAAACAAAGAAAUCAUGGCGGAGUGUUUACAUUUGGCAGCCCAAAGCCUCUUGGAUUACGGAACCCCCCCCAAACCCAAGCGGCCCCCCCCGGCCCCCCGCAGUCGCGGCUCGCCGGAGCCCGCCCGCCGACACCUCGCCGCGGCCCGGAGCCUGAACCAGCUGCUUUGAAGAGAUCUUGGGACUGAAGGACUGAGCUGAGGCAUUUCUAAGGCAGCUGAUAACAGAGGAAAGAGCAGAUCAUGGCACCAAAUCCUGCCCCGGAGCUGAGCAGGGCCCAAGGAGUGGCCCCGUGUGGAGGAGCAGAUGGAGCUCUGCAAACUAUCAGCUUGCUGGAUUUUAUGGCGCAUUUCUGGAGCUGAGGGACAAUUGUCUGGGAAUUUCCAGUUAAUUGCCAUUUCUUCUGCUUCUUUCACGAGCUGUUCUGGAUGUUGUGACUUUCUCCUUGAUCUCAGACUGCAGAUCUCUCUCCUAAUCCUCUCAACUGGUCGCCUCAUGAUUAAAUUGUUGAGUUGCAUCUUUGAAUGCAAAGCGAAGGAUAUUCUGGGUCCCACCAGGAGAGUUUGAGCAGGAACCUACAGACUCCCAAUCCCUGAGGGGAUUUUGCUUGCACUUCCUCAAGAUAUAAAUGGUUGAAUGCUUGCUGGAUGAAGAACUGUUUCUGUCUGUGUGAUCCUGCCUUACCUGGGCUUAGUGUUGGAACUCAACAUUCUUGUGACAGAAAAACUGUCACUGUGCAGAAAAACUGCCCAGUCUUCACCUAUUUUUUGCAUUUUUAAAGGGCUGAGAUUUACCAUGGAUUUUUGUGGUUGGUUCUAGACUGUUUCAUAUUUACAUCAUCUUAAUUUCAUUGAGAGACUCCAGAUUCAAGUCAGGUAACCUUGCCCACUCUUGUGGAAAGCCUGAGGAGCUCCAGGAGGGAUUAAAAGAAGAGAUCUUCCUCCCCUGUUCAGAUCUCUGUCUCCACUUCCUGGGGCUUGCUGAUUUCAAGAGUGAAGGAAACCUGUCUGGAGAUUGGGCCUGUUUGGGGGCAUGUGCCCAAACCCAGAUCUGAGCUUUAUACUUUCCUUUUAGGCUUUUCACACACUAUUAUUAGGAAAAAGCAAGGAAGCAGCCAAACACCAGAUUGUUGCUUUUUGGUAUUGAGGUCCUCUCUCAAUAAGGGAAUAAGUUUGUGCUCAGGCUUGAGUCUGUAUAAGAGAUCCAUAAGGGAGCUAACAUAUGGGAUAUUUUAACUCUCCAUAUUUAAAUAAUCUUCAUUAAGACCAUUUGGAAAGAAUGUGUGUGUUUUCUACUUGUGAGUCUAUGUCUUUUCCUUUCGAGAAUUUUAUUUCUGGAGACUCUGGAUGACUAAAAUUUGCUCUCUCCUCCCCAGCUGGCCUGAGCACAAGUAGACUCCAGCAAUCUGUAGGUCUCUUAACUGAGACCACCAGCGUGGUCCUGGAGGAUCUGCUCAGGCUGAGGCCACCUAGGAACAGCUUCUCUCUGCCUGCAGUGGCCUUUUUCACCACUGGGCAAAUAUUUGACUUUGAAAGUGUUUAGCUUUCACUUAUUUCAUCGUGACUUUGUGCCAAAAGGCCAGGCAUGAUGGCCCUUACGUUUGCUAAAGGUCUGGCUCUGGCUGUGUGGUGUGGGAGGAUCUCCUGCCAUGCAAAACCUGAGGUCAGCCUGUCCUCUUGCAUUCCUCCCGUGGGCAGUGCCGCCCUUGCAGCUGGCCUGGGGCUGGCACGGCUGAUGCUGUCAGAGAGAAAAUGUCUGGGUUGCUUCGUGUUCUGGCACAGUCCCUUACGGACAGACCUCUAUCCUGACAGGUUCUAUUCGUAGGCUCAUUCUUCACCCAUUUAAUUCCCCUCUGGCAACGCUGUGUGAGCAGCUUGGGGCAGGCAGACAGUCCCCACAUCCUCUCUCCUGAGGUCACCAGACACAAAGCCAGGUGGGAAUGGUGACUCUGCCCUAGGGGUAGGGGCUUCUGGGAUAUUUAUGUGCAUAAAGAUGUGUGCCUCAAACCACCAGAGGAAUCCUUAAAAGAGUAAAGGAGAAGAGAACCGAGGCUGUGUUUUUUGAUUCUGCUUGUAGAGGUGUCAGAGCCAGCAGGGCAAGCUCAGGGAGGGCAGGCAGCCCUCAGCCUGUGCUGCCCUAGCUGCAGCCAGGCUUGCAUUUAUCCUGGUAGCUGCUCCGGUCCUCUCUUCCCUCCCUGCAGGCUGCUCCAGGCUUUUCUCUCGGUGCCUUUGCAGCCCGCUCUGAUCUGUGCUCCCUCAGCUCCUGCCGGUGCCUCUGAGCCCUGCCCGGCUACCCGGCUCGUGUCCCCAGUGCCGCUCGUGUCCCUGCUCCACCAGGAUGCUCUGUGGCUUUGCUCCCCUGCCUGUCUGACCUCACCGAGCACACUCAGUGCCUUUCCCCUCAUCUUUUACCUUUUCUUUCUUCAGCUGCCCCAGCUGAGCCCUGUCCCACUCCAGGCGGGACAGCCGUGUGGGCAUCCCGCCCCCGCUGCUCCUGCAUCCUGGGCGGGAUCCCGCCCUCACACCUCACAGGCUGCAGAGGUGCCUGUGCUGGGCUUGGGCAUCGCCCCGCAGCGCUCGCCCUGCUGUGCAGCAGAGCCCAUCCCAUCGAUCAGCCCAUCCCUGAGCGCUGUGACAGGCAAGACAAGGGCCGGCUCUGCUCCUGCAGCCUUUAAUCCCCAGCUCCGAGCCACCAGGACACUGCAGACUGUUGGGUUCCGCUCGGGCAUAAUUCCAUCAUUACCAUUGAUUUGUUCGCCCGUGCUCCCCACGGUGCUUUUAAUCAACUCUCCAUCUUUGUGCCUUCACACCUUUACGCUUCCCAUGAUUGGCUCUGCUCCCUUCUGCCUCUGCAGUGAAAUAGCACCAUAGAAAUCCUCCUGCCUCUUACAUACAUUAACAAUCCCAUUUCUCCUCUCUCUGGUCCAGUGAAGGGAUCUCCCUCACCACAAAGGCACCACUGUCUCUGCUAAGCGCUCGGGGAAUAGCUUCUAUUCAUUAUUCCCAAAGUCCAGUACAAUGGGUUAUAAUUAGUUACUGGCCUCUUUGGUUUACUCUACCUUCAAAGGCUCUUUUAUAGUUUAAAAGUGAAGGCAGAUGCUGACAUUAAUUUUGGCUGUCUCUCCAUGGCAUUGUGCAGACAAGAUAAAACCAACAUGCAGGUAUAGGGAUAAGUAACUCACUAGCCAAAAAAAAAAAAAAAAAA
rnacentral:lncRNA from 1 species